CUGUUUCAUUAGCACAAGGCAUGCUUACAACCAGAGUUCCAAAAAUGUAACACAAGAAACAGUAAAGGGCCCUGGACUCAAACUCCCUCUGUGCAAGUCCUGGCUGUGUUUCUUGCUACCGGCGUAAUGUGCUAUUUAAGCAGCAGUGCAUGUCUCCUCACAUUUGAAAAUAUUGAUUGGGUCUUGAAGACAGAAUAACAAGCGCCAGAACUCAAGCAUUUUGCCAGGAGUGGUGCUGCCUCAUCAGUACUUCAGAUCCAGGCAGGGAAACUGUCAGCAGAACUGCUCCAAAGUCUGCUUUGUGAAAUGCACAUAAGCGGUCUCCCAGACCCACUUUCCAUCCUUCUCCUUUCUGAGGAGGAGGUGGUUAGAAAAAAAAGAAGAAGACAACAAAAGAGUAGAUGAGAGAGAUGUGGCAAAAGAAGAGGCAGAAGAGAAGAGGCAAGAGAAGGAUUCUCCCACCCAUUGCUGUCUUUAGAGAUGCAGGCUAUGAGCCAAAAAGCACAGAUAGCUCCGGAAGCUGAGGACAAGCCACACUGCCCACACUCCCGCAACUGCCCAGAACUGAAUUUUGCCAAUUACCUGCAUAAAUCAGAAAAUGGAUGCUCACUAGAGUCUCCAGAAGGGAGCCUGGCUUGCUGACACCUAGAUUUUUGUCUUGUGAGACUGAUCAGAGGAAUUAUCCCAGCACACUUGACUUCUGAAAUUGUGAUAUAUCUAUGCCUGCAGAAACCCAUGACAUGCAGAAACUAUGAGUUAAUAAAUGAAUGUUGUUUUAAGCCAUCA
rnacentral:lncRNA from 10 species